GAGAAGCGCUAUCAUGGGCUUCCUCUGUACUCAUGAUUACUGAGCCAGUUGAUACUGAGCUGUGUAGAGGGUAGGCCACGUCUCCCCAUGACCUGUAGCGGCCUGCACCACCUGGACAGUACUGUUGGUGUAGAAGAUAAACCAUCUCUCUCCAUGACCUGUAGCAGCCUGCACCACCUGGAUAGUACUGUUGGUGUAGAAGGUUUGUCCUGAGGAAGAAGUUGAUGGGAGCACUCUGAGGCCAGAGAAGAAGUUGAUGAAUGGAACUUCAAGCCUGUAGGAGUAGAUGUUGUACUCUGUGGAAGAGCAAGCCCCAUAGUGAGGAAUUGGACCUCAAACUGUGUGAAGAGGAGCAGUGACGUGAAGUCUCACAUACUUCUGUGGAAUCAGUGGUAGAGUACCACUGGAAUCCAAGAAAAACUUCAUGGUGCAGCAGCCUGGAAGAGCUGUAGAGGAUCCUGGUAGAUGAAUCUGGAAGAAACUGAUGGUGUCAGGGUAGUGAACUUACAAAUGUUGGAAGGAAGUUCUUAUUCACUACUUGUAGGGAGUUGGUAGAGAGCUUCAUUGUCAUUAGCGUGCAAGAUGCAGUGAAAGGUGGGUACACUACUGGGUCCUGUAUAUGGUUAAAGUGACCUAAAAUAAAGGGGAGCCAAGGUACAUGUGAUCUGAGGAGCGUCGUCAGCCAUAGGUCAUCAGUAACAAGAAACGUGUAUUCAUUAUGCCGGGCCUCAGCGAAUCAGAUUCGGUCUUCGCUGAUGAAUUUAGUAUGGAUGAUCUUAACUUCGAAAUGAAGACAAAAGUGGGGGCUAAGGACGACCUGCUCCUGAGUGAUGGUAGCAGGACUAUUGACUACGUCUUGGCAAAUAAACACGACGACAUGAACCAGGACCACAGUGAUCGUCGGAAAGUUUUCGAGAGUAACCUCAAGAAGGAGGGUCUCAUCCUUGAAUCUGACCAAGUCGAGGACGUUCCCUUCAGGUCUUGCACCUGCUACUCCAAAUCUAACUGGACUGGUACUUGAACAAAAAGGACAAGGAUAUGCAGAGACCAACGAGACGCACAACCAAACCAAGAAAGGCCCCUGAGGGAGCGGACCCCAGCUAUGGCGCAGGUGCCUACUAGUGCCACUCCAGUGCCAUCUUGAGGACCCAUAUUUCUGACCAAUUAUAUUAGACGAUCUGCAUGGAACUUGCACACCUUACUGAACCCAUGCCUAUCUACAAGGGUGCAAAUUUUGAAUGAUAUUGGUCAACAUCAACCUCAGCUAAAGGUAGCUGAACUUUGACCUUCGUUUGUGCAGGCUGCGAUGCUGAAACUUGGCCCAGUUGCAGCACCUUUCACAUGUAUCAGGAUAAUAAAUUUCAAUGCCCUACAACAACUUUUAAUUUUCAUAUAGCCAACCCCUUCAGGUAAGUGUCGAGGGUUCACCCUCGUCCUGAGGUGUAACGUCUCCAAUUGUCACCCAAACAAAUAUAUUUCUACACUAUAUGACUGGCUUAGUAGGGGCCAUAAGAU
rnacentral:misc_RNA from 1 species